rnacentral:lncRNA from 1 species
ACUGUAGUGAUAAUCUUGAGAAUUUCUGUUCAAAAUUGGUUCUGACGUAUGGAUCGAAGGAUAUCGAUGGAAGCAUCACACAAGGAGGGUAUUCUGAUAUGGUGGUUGUAGAUGAACACUUUGUGAUCAGCAUUCCUGAUGGCUUACCUCUUGAGGCUGCUGCUCCUCUCUUAUGUGCUGGGAUCACUGUCUAUAGCCCUCUCUUAUAUUUUGGACUUGCAAAGCCAGAUCUGCAUGUGGGUGUUGUUGGUCUUGGUGGUGUUGGCCAUAUGGCUGUGAAGUUUGCCAAAGCUUUUGGGGCUAAGGUCACUGUAAUCAGCACAUCUCCCAACAAAAAGAAGGAAGCCAUUGAGCAUCUUGGAGCUGACUCAUUUCUCAUCAGUCGUAAUCAAGAUGAGAUGGAGGUAUUUACCCUUUCGAACCUUUCCAUAAUUCUUGUAUAAAACUGUUAUCAAACCCAAAUCAUAAUCAUUUAUGUUACAUAGAUUAUGUAUCAAUAAAUAGUAUGGUUUAAAUUCUGUUUUGCAUUACUUUAAUUUUUGUAUCUGUGAGGAACAGUUUCUUUCUAAUGGUCAUUUUUCUACUUAGGCUGCAAAGGGCACCCUGGAUGGUAUCAUAGACACAGUUUCUGCAGUGCAUCCUCUGCUCCCUCUGAUUAAUUUGCUGAAGAGUCAAGGGAAAAUUGUGAUAGUUGGUCUACCUGAUAAGCCUUUGGAACUACCCAUCUUUCCUUUACUAGGUAUGCAUGCAACUGAAUUCAAAUUAACUACUAAUUUUGAUAAUGAUUGUGAACAUUGUUGCAAUGAAAAGAAGUAAAUAUUGCAUUUGGGUUGCAGAUAGAAAGAGUGUAGCUGGGAGUUGCAUUGGAGGAAUUAAGGAGACUCAAGAAAUGAUUAAUUAUGCUGCCAAAUACGAUAUAAAGCCUGAUAUUGAGAUUAUUCCUAUUGAUUAUGUAAACACAGCAAUGGAGCGUCUCCUCAAAUCAGAUGUCAAAUAUCGAUUUGUUAUUGACAUUGGCAACACACUCAAGUCAAGUUCUUAAUAUUUUCAUCAUCCCUUUUGCUUUAAAUAAGGAUCUUGCCUAUGUUGUCCACUCCAUAUUUAGUUUCAUUGGAAGUUUUACUGUGUGCUUUUGGAUUUAGCCAGUGAAUGGGAUUGAUGUAGUUGCUAUCUUAAUAUAUAUUACGUCAUUAAUAAUUAUAUUUAGGGAUGUAUUUAGACUUUGUUGCAAAUUUAAAUAUUUAAAGGUUAAUGCUUAUCGAGAUUAUGAUACAAUUCUUAUUUCCUGGUUUCUUUUUAAUUCUUUCAUUUUCUUUACAAAUAAUUUUGUAAAACCUAGGUUUACAUUCAAUAUAUUAUAAAAAUGUCUUGAUAUUUAAUUAAGUAUUAUAUUAUAAAAUUUCUUUAGUUUUAAUUAAGUAUUAUAUUAUGAAAUGUUUUUAUAUUUAGUCAAGUAAUGUGUAAAAAUAAAAUUUAAAUUUAUACUUAAUUUAUAUAUUAUGGAAUGUUUUUUUAUGUUGAUUUAUUUGCAGUAAUUUCUUUGAUGCUUUAUGGCUUUUAUUUGCUUUUCAUGUUAAUGAAGUAUGUUGUCAUGCGCAAAAGGUUUGGGAUAUACAUGGUACAGUGUCGUUUGCCAUUGAUUUGGGAGAAUACGUAGGAUUUAGAAAGUCAUGGUUGUUUGUUUUACAAUCAGGCCCAUUUUGCUUUGUGGCCCAAAUUUCUUAUAUACGUACCCCUUUUGCUUUUUUCCCAAAGAGCCUGGGCCCAUUAGACUAGCCCAGCCUUUCUGCUAUUUGCCACUCGAGUUUGUUAUGCAUUCAUCAGUUUCUUAAAAUCCGGGCCAACUUAUUUUGUCCUGCAUUUUUGUUAUUCGGCACUUCCUUUUUCAUAUUUCCACCAUCAGCUUUCUUAAACAAUAUUAGCCCACAUGUUUGGUCCAAUAUUUAUACUAUUUGCUACCCAUUUUUUAUAUUGACAACUACCAACAGUUUUUUUGUGAUAAGUAAAUUAAAAUUAAUUAAAAAAUUUAUAAUUUUGGACACUUAUUAUAUGUCUAAUAUUUAUAAAUUUACUAUAUAUUAAUUGAAAAAAAUAUCAUUAUUAUAAACUUAUAAUAUAUAUUAUUAUAGAUAAUAUUUAAAAAAGUGGAUACACAACGACAAUACAUGUAAAUAAUGUCUGUGUUAUAUUAAAUAGGCCAACAUUGCAAGAUAUAAAUGAGUAUUUUUUUGGUUUGUAGUCAUCUUUGUGUAAUGCAUAUGAGUAUUCCUAUUCCCUUCUAACUAACCCAUCAACUAUUCUUUAAAACUAGUUUCUCUUACCUCAUUAAAAGUAUGAGUACUCAUAAAUAUUUUUAACUCCUAAAAAAAAUAAGGAUAAAUGAUCUUCAUCAAUGAUCUGAAUAUAUUACUAAAACCCUAAAUCAGCACACGCAUUCCCUUCACGAAAAAAUAUGAGUAACCCUAAACCUGAUUUUUCCACAGUAAUUAAGACAAUCAUCGAUUAUGAAGAAUCCAAGGUACAUUGGUCCUAACAGGAAACACAGCUCAACCCAAAGCAGAAUCACAUUCCAGCUAGGCAUUAGUAAGUUGCAUUUUUUUAGCUUCCUCCAAAGCAUGUAUAAUCUCAUAAAACUCAGCAACCAGAACAAUAUGAACUUCAAGAAACGCAGAAAAAGCUCCAAUAUACUCCCACGAAAAAUAACUCCACAAGUAACAAGAUCAGGAUAUCUUCUAGCAGCCCCAUCAAUGUUAAUUUUAACCCAACCUGAUGAAGGAAAUUCUCGUCUAACGGACCAUAAAAGAACUUAUUCUAAACAAAAUUUUGAUAAAAAUAACUUUACUCUAAUCAUUGAAAUCCAAAAGUGACCUAAAGACCUGAUAAAAAAUCUAGAAAAAAAACAUAGAAAAGAAGUUCUUUAAAAAAUUUGUUCUUUUAAAAUAAAACAUAAAUAACUAAUUUUUUGAUAUUAAUAAUAAAAUAUUAAGAUACUAUUUUAAUUAUAUAAUUUAAUAUAAAACUAUUUUUUAAUCCUUACACAUUAAUUAUAUAUAUAUUAUAAAUUUUAUUUUACUUAUUUUUACUCAUUACUCUCAAUUUAAAUAGUCUGUCUUUUUAUUAGUUUUUCCUUUCUUUAUUUUUUUAAUCUUCACCCAAUCGAGUAAAAUGUUAAUUCAAACAAAAACUCAUACUUUAUUGAUAAAAACAUCAAUAAAAAUAAAGGUCAUAAGAAGAAUAAAAUAUUUUAGAAAAAAAAGGAUGAAGGACAACAAAUACAAAAUUUUAAAAUAUAGAAAGUUACUUUUUACUCCUAGGAAUUUUUGUUUUUAUUAUAUAAAGUGAAGGAUAUAAUAGUUAUAAUACAAUUCAAAUAAUUUAUCCCCUAAAUCAAUUAAAUUAAAGUUUUAAAAUAGUUUUAUUAAUUUAUUAAACAAGUAAUAAUUUGAUUUUUAUUUAUUUUUUCAUUUUUGUCAAUUUUCAUCUUUUUCUUUUUUUCGUCUGAAUCAAAUAUAUCCUUUUACAAAAUAUUAAGUACUUAUGAAUCAUUGGAAGUCUUACAUUAUACCAUUAUACUAAUAAUUGAUAUAUUGAUACGAUUAUCUAAACUUUAGAAAAUACCCUAACAAAAACAAAUAAUUAAUCAUCUCUUAAAUAGUGAAAAAAAAAAUACUAUCAUUGCAUUUUGAUUAGAUUAAAAAAUAAACAUAUUACUUUUAACAAGAACAAUUCUUAAAUUAUUAAUCUAUGAAUAAGUUCUACGUCCUCAUAUGGAAGUUUUCUUCAUCAGGCUGGGUUAAAGUUAACAUUGAUGAGACUGCUAGGGAUAUCCUGGUCUUGUUACUUGUGGAGGUAUUUUUCGUGGGAGUAUGAGAGAAUUUAUUGGAACUUUUUGUGCGUUUACUGCUAUGACAAAUGUUCACUGGAUGUUUCGUAAUCGAUGAAAUACUUGUCUUAAUUACUGUAAGAAAAUUAGGUUUAGGGUUACUCAUACUUUUCGUGAAGGAAGUGUGUGUGCUGAUAAGUUGACUAAUUUAGGAUUUAUUCAUAGAGAAUCUUUUCAUUGAUAUUAUAUGCUUCCAUCUUGUUUGUUCUUAAAAUUCUUUAUGAAUAGGUAUAGUCUACCUAUAUAUCGUUUUUAUUAACAUAUGAUUUUUGGUCUAUUCCCGUAUUUUUUGUAUUUUCUUUCUUUUUUCUUUCUUUAAUAAUAUUUUUUUCAUGUGAUGACAAAUAAUUUUUUUGUUACUUGAAGUGUUAGCUUAACCGAGAUCUUAAGUUGCAUAGUGAUGUCUAACACAAAAACUUUUAUUUAAAAAAAAUAAGUGAAAAGUAUUCUCACCCUUAAUGCUUUGGAUUAGGAAGUAAAAAAUUGAGGGUGUGGGGAAGUGAAAAUGUGAAGAUUUGAGAAGAAAGUGUGAAGAAAGUUGAGGGUGUUUGGAUUGAGAUAUGUUAGAGUAAAUGUGUGAAGAAAGUUUAUUGAAAUAUGUGAGUAAUUUAAUGGUUGUAAAAAUAUUUUAAAUUAUUUUUAAUUGUGUAAAUUAUAAGAUUAUAAAUUUAACUUUGUGUAUAAAAAUAAGAAAUAAAUGAUAAUUACUUUUGUUAUUAUACUAAUAUUUUUUUAUUAUAAAUAUAUUUAUAUUUUAAGGUAUAUAAGUAUUUUUUAUUUUCAUUAUGAAUAUAUUAAAUAUUUUUUGAAUAUUUAUAGUUUACAUGAAAUAAAAUCAAAUAAAAUUAAGUAAUUUAAAUUAUUUUUUAUUAUAUAUAAAAGAUAAAAAUGUAAAUUUAUAAAUGCUUAUGUAACUUUUUCUUCUUUCAUGCAAAGCAUCUAAAAACAUUCAUCUCCCCUUACAUGCCUAACUGAGUUUUUGUUUAAUAUUAUACAAUAAAUAAAUUAGAUAAUAAGAUUAUUAAUUUUGAUCCACUCGUUAUAGUUGCGUCUUUGAAUCAACUGAUUAUCUAGCCUCGAAAAACACGUGCAUGCAUUGCAGCAGAGAAUAACAUUUUUCUGAGCAAGUGUGGACCACGCACCUCACAAAAUUCUAACCUACAUAAAACUUUUAAAUUUUCGAGGAUGAACUGUAAUACUUUGUUUCUUUCAAUAAAGUUAUUUUUUAAUAUCAUUGCUCCAGAACUAAUUAUAAUAAUAUAAUACUAUAAAUAUUUAAAUUCAUAACUUACGUUUUAAAUAUUAUAUUAUUAGAAUAAAAUUUCUACCAAGUUAAAUAUAAAGUAAAAGUUAUUAAAAUAUUAUUAUUUUAUUUAUUGGUACUUAUUUACUUGUUUUUACUAAAGAUGAAUAGGCAUAGAAACUAUUGUUUUGGAUACAUGAUUUAAUACCAAGUAAAAGAAAUCUACACUUUCUUUUUCUGUCUCACCCUUGUUUAUUGUACUUUAAAAUUACUUUUUACUUUAAUUUAUAUUUUAAAAUUUUGAAAUGAUUUUAUUUAAAAUUUCACAAAAAUCUUUAACGGAGUAUCCACAAGUAUCAAACCACAUUUUCAUAUCGAAAAUUCCACAAUUAUUUUUAAAAGAUACCAAAUUGAUAAGAAAAUAGGUUUUUUAAAUAUAUAUAGUUAUAUUCAAAUUUUAAUAUAAAAUACUUUAUUACAUUAUUUUUAUUUUUUGAUAUAAAUCUUCUCAUAUACACUUUUAUUAUAUUUACACUUUUUUUCCUAAUACAAAUAAUUGAUUUUUUUUCCUGUUUUUCUUAGUUACUCUUCCCUUGAUAUAUGUGGGAAUGAAAACGUUUUUCUUUUCUUUUUAUGAGCUGGGAAUGAAAACGUGGAAAGUAUGCUUAAGAAAAACCAGAAUAAUGAUUCAUAUAUGUUUUUUCUAUGGCCCUUAUAAAUACAUAUUUGUAUAAUUAAAAAAAUAGUUUAUAUAAACAAUAUUCCUAUGAAACAAUUAUUACCUCCCAACAACUGUUUCAUCUACCCAACAUCUCUAUUAUGAGUCACUUAGAAACACCAACAAUUAAUUCUUCACUUCCAAACAUACCAGAUUCUCAAUUGCUAUGAAAUAAACACUAAGUGAUGCAUACCAACACUAAAAUAAACUAUUAAAUAAUAAAUAAAUUUAAAAACAAAAAUAAUUCAUUACUAUAUUAAUUAAAUUUAAUAUUAUUUUAUUAUCAAUAAAAAGUUUAAAAUAUUUUUAAUUAGUAUUUAAAUUAGUUAUCUAAUUUUUAGUAAUUAAUAUUUUAAUUUUAAAUUAGUGUUUAAAAAUAUUAAUAAAAAUUAAUUUAAAAUAUAAAAUAAUAAAUAACUAAUAGUUAAAUAUCAAUUUAAAAUUAUUUUAUAAUUUUUAUUAAAAUAUAAACUACUUUAAAUAUUAAUAAUUUUUUUUAUAAAAUAGUUUUUAAUUUAAUCAAAUAAUAACUAAUUAUUUUAACCUUUAAAAUUAAUUUUCAUUUAAUAAUUUUCUUAUAAUAGACGACCUUCAAUUUGUCAAUUUGGUUGUAUAAUCUUCUUCAAUUAUGCUCUAAUAUAGUGUUAGAUCACAAAAUAUGCUAAUAUGUAUAACUUUAAAUGUAGAGUCUCUUUCUUUAUAGGUUCCACCCUCAACAGUAACAAUGAAAACAACACUUCACAUUAUAAUAAAUUAUUUUAUUAUUAUUUUAUUUUAUUUUUUAAUUUAAAAAUAUUAUUAUAAUAUGUUUUUCGAGUGUCAACAAAACGUCACCCUUCUCUUCUUCUUUAUAUAUUGGAACAUGUAUAAUUUUCACUGGCAACAGUAAUAUUAUAUGAUAUCUCUUUUGAGAGUUUCCAAGAAACAUUUUCCAAAAAAGACAUGAAAAGCGAAACACAGUGAGCACUUUUCGUAUUAAUAAUUGAAUAGGUGAAGCAUUGUGAAUCACAUAUCUCAUCUUUGAGUGCCUAUAAGAGUUACACCCGUGAUCAUUGUGUUCCUUCAGAAUUGAGUAGAACACAUUCAAAUGGCUGUUACACCAGGACUGGAGCAUGCAAGGAAGGCUAUUGGAUGGGCAGCUAGAGACACAUCUGGGGUUCUCUCCCCCUUCAACUUCACCAGAAGGUACUCAUUUCAACCUCUUCAAUUUUCCAACUUCAAAAAUGUUUCAUGCUUCUCAUGUUCUCUUUUCUAAUGGGGUAGGGAAACAGGAGACAAAGAUGUAGCAAUCAAAGUGUUGUUCUGCGGUGUAUGCCACAGUGAUCUCCAUAAUGCAAAGAGUGAUUGGGGUCAAUCUUUUUAUCCACUCGUACCAGGGUAUGCUAAUGCUUCCUCCACUUUUUUAACUCUGUUUCAACAAGCUUCAAACACAAAUUUCUGAAACAAGAAAGAGUUCUGUAACUUUGUUGACAUAAAUAGUUCAUAGUAUGAUUUGAAAAGAUGAAAAGGAAAUGUUAAUUAGAUUGUUUCUAAUUUGAGUACCAAAAACGUAGGCACGAGAUUGCAGGUGAAGUGAUAGAGGUAGGAAGCAAAGUUGGAAAGUUCAAAGUGGGUGAGAAGGUGGGUGUGGGGUGCAUGGUUCAAUCAUGUAGAUCAUGCAAAAGCUGUGGUGAGAAUCUUGAGAAUUACUGUCAAGGAAUGGUUCUGACGUAUGGAUCGAAGGAUAUUGAUGGAAGCAUCACACAAGGAGGGUACUCUGAUAUGGUGGUUGUAGAUGAACACUUUGUGAUCAGCAUUCCUGAUGGCCUACCUCUUGAGGCUGCUGCUCCUCUUUUAUGUGCUGGGAUCACUGUCUAUAGCCCUCUCUUAUAUUUUGGACUUGCAAAGCCAGAUCUACAUGUGGGUGUUGUUGGUCUUGGUGGUGUUGGCCAUAUGGCUGUGAAGUUUGCCAAAUCUUUU